GUCCCGUAGGCCCAGCGAGCGGUCCGGAUAGGCUGUAGGUCCCGGUAGGGGCGGACCAGACGUGCCGAAGGCUCGGAGAGUGGACCAGACUGACUGAAGGCCCGAUGCGGGCGGACCAGUCAUACUGUAGACUCAGAGAGUGGACCAGGUGCAUUGAAGGCCGGGAACGGGCGGACCAAUUACACUGUAGACUCGAUGUAUGCGGAUAGACUCGGAGAGUGGACCAGACUGACUGAAGGCCCGAUGCGGGCGGACCAGUCAUACUGUAGACUCAGAGAGUGGACCAGGUGGAUUGAAGGCCGGGAACGGGCGGACCAAUUACACUGUAGACUCGAUGUAUGCGGAUAGACUCAGAGGGUGGACCAGGUGGACUGUUGGCCGGUGCGGCGGACCAGUCACACAGUAGACCCGGAGAGCAUGACUGUUUUAUGAUCGGAUAUGUUAUGGCAUGUUGUGCGUGUAUGGUAUUUGUGGUUGGUAUUUUGGGGGUAUCUCACUAAGCUUUCGGGCUUACAGUUGUGGUUUCAUGUUUUUCAGGUUCUUCAGGAGAUCGUGGCAAGGCAAAGGCAUGAUCGUACCGCUCCUCAUACUUUUGUGGUGUUAUGAUUCUGGGAAUACGAUAAAUAUUUUGUAUUGGAAACCUUUUUGUAAAGAAUUAUUGGAAUUGAGAUGUUUUUGAAAAAUUUAAAAUUGGUUGUGUUUUUCGGAUGUUACAAUAAGUUUUUCAAAUUGGAUGAUUCGGUGGGAAUUCUUUUGUGAUAAAGGAUACCUAAGCAAAAGAGUCCUGAUGCAUAGAUGAGAU
rnacentral:lncRNA from 1 species